CUUACACGGAGCAUGGCUAUAUAGCCCGCCAGCAAAUGACAGGCGUGCUUCAUAUUUCUUUUUUGACCUAUUGGCUCAUGUGAACCCCAUUUCAACUAUGCAAAGCGACAGACUUGCCUCACUUAACUAUGCCUGCUGUCGUCAACUAAAAUGUGUCUGAUACUCACCUACCUAUCCAUCGUUGAAUCAUGUUGGUCUAACUCUAUGAUUCCCAAUAAUACUGAUAGGAAGAGGUCGGGUCCCGCGGAAAUGGCCUAAAUGGAAUUGGUUUUCAUUAAUCAACAAAUGAAGUCCAAGAAACACCUCAAACAAAUCUCUUUCCUCGAAUCCUGUUCCUUCGAAAGGGCUUGGGCUGGAUGCAAGAAAUGAGGCAGAUGCAUUCAUCCUCUGUUUCGGAAACCACACCAAGCCACUCGCCAAAGCGUCUAUUUAUUUGUACUCGGAUGUCUAAUUGGAAUGGGAUGAAACGCUGGACAUUUCAGAAUGAUAAGGCUUGACCAGACUCUCACUUCCCUCUAUCGGUCACAUCUAGCGUUAGCAACGCUGGGAGAUCCCAUUAUCGAAAUUUGAGUUGCAGCGAAAGCUAUGAAAGCUUUCACAUAAGAAGGUGGAAGGAGGAUCUGGAACAGAGAAGAAAUAUUGACAUCGGCAAUCCACCUCCAUCCCCCGGAGCACAGUCCCUGGAUCCGGAUAUCUAAUACCCCAUCUUCAGACAUCGCGCAUUCUGGAUACUAAAUGCGUGCGGCAAAAAUCUAGAAAAAAACAGAAAAAGGAGGUUGCAGCGCGGCAAUCGCCAAAAAUAACCCGAUGCAGAUCAUCGCGGCUGCGCAAACAUUCCUCGUUCUCCAGGAUCUCACUGACGGUGUCGGGUCAAUCAUGUCCGUUGACGUACCCAUCUACAAGACUGUCUGACGCCUCCAAUCCCUUUUCGCUCUCUCAGCAGUUGUACGGACCCAAUCCGUCGAUGCCAUCUCAUUCGGGGAAAGCUAACAUCUAAACGGAUGACCUCCAUUGGGUCACGACCUUCUCGAUGAGCUUCUGCCAGAUAUCAUUGCACUCAUGGACACGCACAUUCCACGACUGCAAGUUUGCGCUCUGCCAUUAGUCAGUAUUAUGGGAAUGAGUAUGAGAUGCUGAUGCCAUGGACAAAGGAGGUGUCGAUUAAUAGGGGUAUGGAGUAAGGUAAGGAGUGCUUGUGAGGAAUUGUGAAAUAACCGGAUUUAACUAUCUCUCAACUCAGAGUUGUUGAAGCGGAAGAUGUGAGAGGCUACAUCCUCACUUUUAUUUAUUUGGCUCUCAAAUGCUUCUUCCUCUUCCUGCUAGGAAGGAAUUUGAUUCCCACUGUAUAUUUCAUAUUUCAAAUCGAAUACUUCAUAUGCAUUUCCUUUUUAUCAAUCUUGGAUGAAAGUGCCUUAUUCCAUGAAUAUUUAACUUGAUUCUGCUCUACAUUUUCAAAUUAUGAUAACCAAGCAAUAAAGCCAAUACCUGCCACAAUUCAGAAGGUAUGUCUCUAUAUAUAUAAUAAGGACAACACCAUAGUGUAACCGAAAAUGGAAAAUGCAGGGACUUUAUUAAAUUACUCCAGCAACGCCCGGAGCCAGCCCAAACCCGUUCGACAACACCUGUAUCCAAUCCACCUCAUCGAAGAUUAAUAGUAGACUCCAUGAUACCCAGC
rnacentral:sRNA from 1 species